rnacentral:rRNA from 1 species
UACGGAGGGUGCGAGCGUUAAUCGGAAUUACUGGGCGUAAAGGGUGCGUAGGUGGUUUGAUAAGUUAGCUGUGAAAUUCCUGGGCUCAACCUGGGGUGGUCAGCUAAGACUGUUGAACUGGAGUAUAGGAGAGGGUAGUGGAAUUUCCGGUGUAGCGGUGAAAUGCGUAGAGAUCGGAAGGAACACCAGUGGCGAAGGCGGCUACCUGGCCUGAUACUGACACUGAGGCACGAAAGCGUGGGGAGCAAACAGG